ensembl:lncRNA
UGGACAGUAGAGAAGAAUCCAAGAGGAAUUUUCUGGUGUUAUUAAUCCCUGCAGGUCUCACAACCAAGGAAGAGGAGGAAGGAUGAAGGAGCUUCCUUCUGGCCUUUCUGGAUGUUUGCACGGACCCUGACGCCCACCUGCUGACGACACUCGCUCAGGCCCAAGUGGAGUUUUAAAGUGUGGCAACAACACGGAGGUAGCAGACUCAGCGCUGACAGACAUUUCUUCAUGGCUGAAUCAUUUUUCCUUCUUAAUGAUGCUCGUUUGUUUCCUCGUUAGAUUCCCACA